rnacentral:rRNA from 1 species
AUACGAAGGUCCCAAGCGUUAUUCGGAAUCACUGGGCGUAAAGAGUACGUAGGCGGUUUGGUAAGUCAGGUGUGAAAUCCCGAAGCUCAACUUCGGAACUGCAUCCGAUACUGCCAGACUAGAGUAAUGGAGAGGCAGGUGGAAUUCUCGGUGUAGCAGUGAAAUGCGUGGAUAUCGAGAGGAAGACCAAUGGCGAAGGCAGCCUGCUGGACAUUUACUGACGCUGAGGUACGAAGGCUAGGGGAGCGAAAGGGAUUAGAAACCCGAGUAGUCC